rnacentral:rRNA from 1 species
UACAGAGGGUGCAAGCGUUAAUCGGAAUUACUGGGCGUAAAGCGUGCGUAGACGGUUAUGUAAGUCAGAUGUGAAAGCCCCGGGCUCAACCUGGGAAUUGCAUUUGAGACUGCAUAGCUAGGGUGCGGAAGAGGGAAGCGGAAUUUCCGGUGUAGCGGUGAAAUGCGUAGAUAUCGGAAGGAACACCAGUGGCGAAGGCGGCAUCUGGACCGGCAUUGACGCUGAGGAGCGAAAGCUAGGGGAGCAAACGGG